rnacentral:piRNA from 1 species
GGAAAAAAAGCAAGAUGCCUCAAUGC